GGCUGAUUUUCUUUUUCAAGGGUAUGUCGAAAAGAAAACGACGAAGAUGAAAGAACUUUAGUGCGAAUACCAGCUGGUAUAUAACCUAAAGUUCUAUAUACACUUACAUACUUAAUAGACAGUCUACUUUUUAUUCUUUCAAAAGUUUUUUUCAUAUCGGAGGUUUUGUACCAGAUAACCAAAAUCAGCAAAGAAUACUGCAUUGUUAAAAAAGUAUGAUAGUAAAACUACAUACAGACCAGUUAACUUUAUCAAUGACAAUACAAGCGCCACAACCUUAAAGACGGUAUAAGUACCCUCGUCCACGUGCGGGUGUUGUCUGAUAAAAAUA
rnacentral:lncRNA from 1 species